rnacentral:rRNA from 1 species
UACGUAGGGUGCGAGCGUUGUCCGGAAUUACUGGGCGUAAGGAGCUCGUAGGUGGUUUGUCACGUCGUCUGUGAAAUUCCGGGGCUUAACCUUGGGCGUACAGGCGAUACGGGCAAUACUUGAGUGCUGUAGGGGAGACUGGAAUUCCUGGUGUAGCGGUGAAAUGCGCAGAUAUCAGGAGGAACACCAAUGGCGAAGGCAGGUCUCUGGGCAGUUACUGACGCUGAGGAGCGAAAGCAUGGGUAGCGAACAGGAUUAGAUA